AUCUGUUGACCCGACAGUUGACUGCCGUUGACUGGGGUUUGACCAGUUUUGACUUGUUGACCGGGUUUGACCCGAACCCGACGCGUGACUCGAAACUCGAAACUGAGGAGUGUAGCCUGCUGACCCGUUGACCGAACCAAACAUUACUCGAACCACCACCAGAUCUGAAACUGAACCAAGACCGAACCUUGAGCCGAAAUCUGACCCGAGGCUCCUGUGUUGACCCGCACCAUUCUUGACCCGGACCAAACCCAAAACUGAGCAAAAUCUGAGCCGACGCUCCACCGUGCCAGAGCCGACAAUAAGACCACCACCUAAAACGACGCAAACAGCCGAAAAUUCUGAUGAUCUAGAGUGAUCUGAAAAGGAAUGAGAGGGUUAGGGGUUUUACCGUAAUCUCGUCGGAAACCCAGGAACACCACCGUCGCCCCGUUACUGCAGACGACUGACGUCGCACACUGUCGCCGUGCACCGCCGGCACCUCGUCGGUCGGCCGGCUCUUUUCCUUCGAUGUCACGCCGCCGCCGAACUUCACCGGGUGUGUGUGUCGAGGGGAGGUUAGAGGGUGUUAUGGCGUCUCACCGGAGAAACCAUCAUCGGUAGUCGGCCGGUUAAUCGGCUUUGGCAGCCGGCUCGGGUGUAGAGAACCGAGAGGGAGUAGAGGUGUGUGGUUGUUUGAGGAAUGAGGGUUCUGGAUAUUUGGUGUGGAUGAUUUCUUCAUGUACAAAAGAAAUUGA
rnacentral:lncRNA from 1 species